rnacentral:rRNA from 1 species
ACGGGUGAGUAACGCGUGGGAAUCUACCGUACCCUACGGAAUAGCUCCGGGAAACUGGAAGUAAUACCGUAUACGCCCGAAAGGGGAAAGAUUUAUCGGGGUAUGAUAAGCCCGCGUUGGAUUAGCUAGUUGGUGGGGUAAAGGCCUACCAAGGCGACGAUCCAUAGCUGGUCUGAGAGGAUGAUCAGCCACAUUGGGACUGAGACACGGCCCAAACUCCUACGGGAGGCAGCAGUGGGGAAUAUUGGACAAUGGGCGCAAGCCUGAUCCAGCCAUGCCGCGUGAGUGAUGAAGGUCUUAGGAUUGUAAAGCUCUUUCACCGAUGAAGAUAAUGACGGUAGUCGGAGAAGAAGCCCCGGCAAACUUCGUGCCAGCAGCCGCGGUAAUACGAAGGGGGCUAGCGUUGUUCGGAAUUACUGGGCGUAAAGCGCACGUAGGCGGAUAAUUAAGUCAGGGGUGAAAUCCCGCAGCUCAACUGCGGAACUGCCUUUGAUACUGGUUAUCUUGAGUAUGGAAGAGGUAAGUGGAAUUGCGAGUGUAGAGGUGAAAUUCGUAGA